ACUAAUAUUCUGGUAAAACCUAAUAUCUCCAACUCUCCAUCUUCAUCGUCCCCAAAACGACAAAACCUAAUAUUUAGAAACGGCAAUUGCUCAUCUGAUUCUGAUUCUGGUAAAAAAUGUUUCCAUAUUUCCGUUACAAGUUAUAUUUCCAUAUUUCCAUACAAGUUAUUCAAUAUUUCCGUAAAAAAUGUUGAGGUACCUCUUGGCUCUUUCCAUCGAAAAAAAUGUUGUGUACCUCAGGUUUUUGAAGUUUUCUUUUAGUGUAAACUCAGCGAUUCUGGACUAUAAUACAGGGCAGCCAAAAGAAUUAGAGUUGAUUUUGAUCAUAGGCUAUUUAUAUUUACAUUUCCUCAACGAAAAAAUGUUUGAUCAUAUUCCAGAUCUUUUAAAUAGACAGUUCUCUGUGAAGAGCAUUUUAGCUAAUCUUUGUUGUGGAUGUUUCUGAUGGUUUACUUCUUCUAAUAAGUUUCUAACAUAGUGGUUUGUAAUCUAAUAAUAGCCCACUAUACUGCAUUACUGCC
rnacentral:lncRNA from 1 species